rnacentral:rRNA from 1 species
UACGAAGGGGGCUAGCGUUGUUCGGAAUCACUGGGCGUAAAGCGCACGUAGGCGGAUUGUUAAGUCGGGGGUGAAAUCCUGAGGCUCAACCUCAGAACUGCCUUCGAUACUGGCAAUCUCGAGUCCGGAAGAGGUUGGUGGAACAGCUAGUGUAGAGGUGAAAUUCGUAGAUAUUAGCUAGAACACCAGUGGCGAAGGCG